rnacentral:rRNA from 1 species
ACGAGUAAGCUUGCUUCUCUGAUGUUAGCGGCGGACGGGUGAGUAACACGUGGAUAACCUACCUAUAAGACUGGGAUAACUUCGGGAAACCGGAGCUAAUACCGGAUAAUAUUUUGAACCGCAUGGUUCAAAAGUGAAAGACGGUCUUGCUGUCACUUAUAGAUGGAUCCGCGCUGCAUUAGCUAGUUGGUAAGGUAACGGCUUACCAAGGCAACGAUGCAUAGCCGACCUGAGAGGGUGAUCGGCCACACUGGAACUGAGACACGGUCCAGACUCCUACGGGAGGCAGCAGUAGGGAAUCUUCCGCAAUGGGCGAAAGCCUGACGGAGCAACGCCGCGUGAGUGAUGAAGGUCUUCGGAUCGUAAAACUCUGUUAUUAGGGAAGAACAUAUGUGUAAGUAACUGUGCACAUCUUGACGGUACCUAAUCAGAAAGCCACGGCUAACUACGUGCCAGCAGCCGCGGUAAUACGUAGGUGGCAAGCGUUAUCCGGAAUUAUUGGGCGUAAAGCGCGCGUAGGCGGUUUUUUAAGUCUGAUGUGAAAGCCCACGGCUCAACCGUGGAGGGUCAUUGGAAACUGGAAAACUUGAGUGCAGAAGAGGAAAGUGGAAUUCCAUGUGUAGCGGUGAAAUGCGCAGAGAUAUGGAGGAACACCAGUGGCGAAGGCGACUUUCUGGUCUGUAACUGACGCUGAUGUGCGAAAGCGUGGGGAUCAAACAGGAUUAGAUACCCUGGUAGUCCACGCCGUAAACGAUGAGUGCUAAGUGUUAGGGGGUUUCCGCCCCUUAGUGCUGCAGCCUAACGCAUUAAGCACUCCGCCUGGGGAGUACGACCGCAAGGUUGAAACUCA